UCCUGGACGAGUCGGUGCUGUGGACGGAGAGCCGCGACGUCGGCAACGGCUUCCGCUGCGUCCGCAUGGUCAACAACAUCUACCUCAACUUCGAUGCCCUCCACGGCGACAAGUGGCACGGCGGCGUCCGUGACGGCACCAACGUCGUGCUCUGGAAGUGGUGCGAGGGCGACAACCAGCGCUGGAAGAUCCAGCCCUACUACUGAACCAACGGAUGAUAUGACCAUCGCGCCCAUCGAUCGUGCACAUGCAUGCAUACGUACUAGCAGAAUAACAGGGGUCUUAUCUCCCGAGGCGUCUUUUGCAUGCAUGCCAGCAGUUGCAUAGAUAAACAGGAGCGAGACAAAGGGUGUUCAUGUAUACGUUAUUGCAGCUGUAUGUAUGUGCCUUGUAAUAAUACAUAUAAUAAAGUUGCUCGGGGUGUAUUAAUUAGAACAUACAUAUAUCUAUUAUACUCCCUCCAUUCUAAAGUAACUCACGUUUUAGUUUGUAAC
rnacentral:lncRNA from 1 species